AUUGAACGCUGGCGGCAUGCCUUACACAUGCAAGUCGAACGGCAGCACGGGGCAACCUGGUGGCGAGUGGCGAACGGGUGAGUAAUGCAUCGGAACGUACCUUUCAGUGGGGGAUAACGUAGCGAAAGUUACGCUAAUACCGCAUAUUCUGUGAGCAGGAAAGCAGGGGAUCGCAAGACCUUGCGCUGAUUGAGCGGCCGAUGUCAGAUUAGCUAGUUGGUGAGGUAAAGGCUCACCAAGGCGACGAUCUGUAGCGGGUCUGAGAGGAUGAUCCGCCACUCUGGAACUGAGACACGGUCCAGACUCCUACGGGAGGCAGCAGUGGGGAAUUUUGGACAAUGGGGGCAACCCUGAUCCAGCCAUGCCGCGUGAGUGAAGAAGGCCUUCGGGUUGUAAAGCUCUUUCGGCCGGGAAAAAAUCGCAUGGGUUAAUACCCUGUGUGGAUGAUGGUACCGGAAUAAGAAGCACCGGCUAACUACGUGCCAGCCGCCGCAGUAACAC
rnacentral:rRNA from 1 species